rnacentral:rRNA from 1 species
CGUGCAGGAAGACGGCCCUACGGGUUGUAAACUGCUUUUAUACGGGAAUAAACCCCUUUACGUGUAAAGGGUUGAAUGUACUGUAAGAAUAAGGAUCGGCUAACUCCGUGC